CCUACGGGAGGCUGCAGUGGGGGAUAUUGCACAAUGGGGGAAACCCUGAUGCAGCGACGCCGCGUGUGGGAAGACGGUCCUCUGGAUUGUAAACCACUGUCCCCAGGGACGAAGAUGACGGUACCUGGGGAGGAAGCUCCGGCUAACUACGUGCCAGCAGCCGCGGUAAUACGUAGGGAGCGAGCGUUAUCCGGAUUUAUUGGGUUUAAAGGGUGCGCAGGCGGCCUGUUAAGUCAGCGGUGAAAUCCCGCGGCUCAACCGCGGAACUGCAUUUGAAACUGUUUUUCUUGAGUACCGGAGAGGUCAUCGGAAUUCCUUGUGUAGCGGUGAAAUGCGUAGAUAUAAGGAAGAACACCAGUGGCGAAGGCGGAUGACUGGACGGCAACUGACGGUGAGGCGCGAAAGCGUGGGGAGCAAACAGGAUUAGAUACCCCUGUAGUC
rnacentral:rRNA from 1 species